rnacentral:lncRNA from 1 species
ACACAGGUGGGAUCUAUAUCCUGGAAUGCCCCCAAGUGUUGUGAUGUCUGGUAUGGACAUUCCCAGGAGUCCUGGUGGCUCUGGGGUCCUGCUGGAGGAGCAGGGUGGUGUCCAGGAUGGACACCAGUUCCAGGACAGUGUCCAUCAUCUCAGGCACCACAAGCUGCAGCUGCCAAGCCACAGGAGCUCCUCAGCCCAUUGCAAACCCUGAGACCUUGGGUCAGGGCUUCUACCUGCAAACAGCCUCUGUGCCUGCACCGUGAUGUGGUUGAACCGCAGGGCUGCUCCUGGGAAAGGGUGACACAGGGAGAAGCCGUGGGCAGCACCGCCCUGAGCCUGCCCCCAGAGAGCCCCAAAGAGAGGCAGGACUGUCCCCCCCCAGGCAGGAGCAGGGGGGGGGGGGGGGGGGGGGGGGGGGGGGGGAGGAGCAGCCAGCCUGUGUGCUCCAGAGCUUCACCUGCACUGCAAGAGGGCAGGUGGUGCCACACCCACCACCCACCCCACGGGCCAUCACUGACAGCAGGGCAAGGGCUGAAGCUUCUGGGAACUCGUGCAUUAUAACCAGCAUUUUAAGUUUUAAACAUAUUUUUGCUAUUAAACCCAGCCCCUGAAUCUUUUCUUUAAUUCUUUUCUCCUCUCUAAAUGCCUACUGGUUCUUUGGACGCUAGCAAGGAUGAAAAGCCACAUUUCCUGUGCUGAACAGAUUUUUAAACAGCUCUUCUUGAGCCAGGCUGCAAGAGCAGUCUCAUCCCAGAGAGACACCCCCUCUGAGCUCCCUGUGUGCAGGCAAGGUGCAGGGUUGAAACCCAGCUUUUGGAAUUGCUCAAAAAGCAGAGAAAACCACCCCUGAUGGGUGGCAGGCUGAGGAAUGCAGAUCUGCAGCCAGGCUGGGCUGGUUAAACAGCCUUUCAUGUUCAAAGCCUCCACUCAGGGUGCAGGAGGAAGCUGAGCGAGGAGCUUACAGGCUUGGACAGGCUCACAUGGAGGAAAUCAGCUCUAUUCCCUCAGCUCUAUUCCUUCAGCUGGGGGGGGGGGGGGGGGGGGGGGGGGGGGGGGGGGGGGGGGGGGGGGGGGG